rnacentral:tRNA from 1 species
UUAGUCGAAACCAAAAAGAGGUAUAUCAUUGUUAAUGAUAAAAAUGAAUAAAGAAAUUCCGUCUAAG